AGAGUUUGAUCAUGGCUCAGGACGAACGCUGGCGGCGUGCUUAACACAUGCAAGUCGAACGGUGACGGAGGAGCUUGCUUCUCUUGAUCAGUGGCGAACGGGUGAGUAACACGUGAGUAACCUGCCCUUGACUCUGGGAUAAGCGUUGGAAACGACGUCUAAUACCGGAUACGAGACGCGAUCGCAUGGUCUGCGUCUGGAAAGUUUUUCGGUCAAGGAUGGACUCGCGGCCUAUCAGCUUGUUGGUGAGGUAAUGGCUCACCAAGGCGUCGACGGGUAGCCGGCCUGAGAGGGCGACCGGCCACACUGGGACUGAGACACGGCCCAGACUCCUACGGGAGGCAGCAGUGGGGAAUAUUGCACAAUGGGCGAAAGCCUGAUGCAGCGACGCCGCGUGAGGGAUGAAGGCCUUCGGGUUGUAAACCUCUUUCAGUAGGGAAGAAGCGAAAGUGACGGUACCUGCAGAAGAAGCACCGGCUAACUACGUGCCAGCAGCCGCGGUA
rnacentral:rRNA from 1 species